UACGGGAGGCAGCAGUGGGGAAUAUUGCACAAUGGGCGCAAGCCUGAUGCAGCCAUGCCGCGUGUAUGAAGAAGGCCUUCGGGUUGUAAAGUACUUUUCAGCGGGGAAAAAAGGAGGCGAUGCGGUUAAUAACCGCGUCGAUUGACGUUACCCGCAGAAGAAGCACCGGCUAACUCCGUGCCAGCAGCCGCGGUAAUACGGAGGGUGCAAGCGUUAAUCGGAAUUACUGGGCGUAAAGCGCACGCAGGCGGUCUGUUAAGUCAGAUGUGAAAUCCCCGGGCUUAACCUGGGAACUGCAUUUUGAACUGGCAGGCUUGAGUCUUGUAGAGGGGGUAGAAUUCCAGGUGUAGCGGUGAAAUGCGUAGAGAUCUGGAGGAAUACCGGUGGCGAAGGCGGCCCCUGGGACAAAGACUGACGCUCAGGUGCGAAAGCGUGGGGAGCAAACAGGGAUUAGAUACC
rnacentral:rRNA from 1 species